UUUCAUGGCGGGCGAUGUGUGGGGAUCCUGAUCCGCCGGAUUUUUCGUCUUGUAACCACCGGUAUGCCAACCCGCAUCGCCCGCCACCUUG
rnacentral:antisense_RNA from 1 species